CCUACGGGAGGCAGCAGCAGGGAAUCUUGCGCAAUGGGCGAAAGCCUGACGCAGCAACGCCGCGUGGGGGAUGAAGGCCUUCGGGUUGUAAACCCCUUUCAGGAGGGAAGAAAUUGACGGUACCUCCAGAAGGAGGACCGGCCAACUACGUGCCAGCAGCCGCGGUA
rnacentral:rRNA from 1 species